ensembl:lncRNA
GGAAAGCCAAUCCAUCACCUGCAUAGAUCCAUUCUGCUGCUAAUCAGCUGCUUUCAGGCCCUGAAGGUCAACUGGAUUUCUGGAGAAUGUUUUAGUGUUUUAAUAGUAAAUAAUGAGGAAGAAGACAGUAGGGCGAUAAGGACAUUAAUCCAUUAAACUAGGAGAGAUGACAAGGACUAGUGUAGGAUCACCACAUGCUGCUGAUGGAGCACAGUAAGGACUUACUUGACAAAACAACAAAUUUAAAGAACAAGAACUAAGGGCUGAUUGGCUCAAAGGACACUUGGAAAAGCGUAGUGACAUAAUUUUUUUUAAUGCGUUUUUUUUUUGACAGUGUGGGAAUUGACAAGGAGAAAGAUGAUAUGAUCUGAUCACUGCUAAGCCUUUACCUUACACUCCUUUCCCCAGCUCAUUAGGACCUCUCCUGUGUUAUCUCUCCACAGUCACAGAAAUAAUCAAGGCACCAUGGCUCUCAUCUUUUACCUGCUUAAUGUUUGUCUUGCAUGUAUGCUGUUUGCAUCUGCAGAUGUGAGUCAUCUAAGGCCACGUAUCCGUUAAAGUACAAUAAAUAAAAGCUGUCAAAAAGAGAGUGCACACAAGCAAAUUUUCAUCUUAAAAAAGGAACAACAAGCUUCUAAUUUCUGCAAUUUCUCCAGCUAAAAAGACCUUUUUAGUAAAGAAGACGUGUUGCCCCUGCACCAUGUCUUUUCAAGCAUUUUAGCAUUUUGUGUGAUUAUGUAAAGUCAAGGACUCCAGGGGCAAACAGCUGAGCACACAGAGGACAAUCUCAAGAGGCUUUUUGGGCUCUGUGUGCAUAUAAACACACAUGGAUAGAUAUGCUUGUGACAGGAAGUAUGGUCAGUGGAGAUGGGAAAUGUAUUGCAUGUAAGGGGAUGUAAGGUUAUUAAAAAAAUAUUUAGGGUAGGAAAGAAAAUCAUCAUACUUGUAACUAUGAAAAUCUUUCUGUAUACCAAUUUUAAAAAAAAAGAAUAGAAAAAAACUUGAACUACACGCUUUUGGAUUUAUGUCAGAAAUAUUCUAUAAAUAAAUAACAUUUUCUUUGAAUGCUCUCUUAUCUAUCCCUCAAAUCGCAUUAAUCACCUGCACU